GCAACCGCCUGCCAAUGCUCUCCCUCCCCCUCACCUUGCGUCCGCCAGCCUCGUCUCCCUCUUCCUUCUCCCCCCCGUUUUCCGGCGAAUGCCACGCCGCCUCGAAUCGCGCGCUCGUGGCCCGAGCGAUCAGACUCCUACCACCCUCCACCCCCAACCCACCAGCGCCAAAAAUAGAUAGGGGGAUGAGGAAUCGCCUCUGGUGCCUGGUUCGCGCCCCAUUCCCCUCUGCCUCCCGCUCCGCUGCUGGUAUCGCGCGCCUCCGCACGCGCUCUAGACGGACCGCACGGCGUGCCCACGUGGCGGCGAGGCGACCGGCGACCGGCGCAGGAGACAACGCCGCCGCCGAACCCGAUUCAACCUCGCCGACGACAGCCGUAGCAUUUUGCUGAUCGCGUGACGCAUGGCUGCCACAUUAAAGAUUGUUGUAGGCUCCCAUAUAUGGCUGGAGGAUAAAGAUUUAGCUUGGAUUGAUGGCGAGGUUUUCCGAAAUGAAGGUCAAAAUGUCCAUGUCCACACUACCAAUGGAAAGACGGUUAUUGUGAGCAUAUCAGACAUUCAUCCAAAGGACACAGAAGUGCCAUCUGAUGGCAUUGAUGACAUGACAAGGCUAUCAUACCUGCAUGAACCUGGUGUUCUAAAUAAUCUUGCUGUUCGAUAUGCAAAAAAUAUAAUUUAUACCUAUACUGGCAAUAUUCUGAUUGCAAUUAAUCCAUUCCAAAGUCUGCCUCAUCUUUCUGAGCCCCGUACCAUGGAGAAGUACAAAGGUGCAAAUUUUGGCGAGCUAGACCCUCAUGUGUUUGCAAUUGCCGAUGUUUCUUACAGGCAGAUGAUGAAUGAGGGAAAGAGCAACUCCAUUUUGGUGAGUGGUGAAAGUGGUGCUGGUAAAACUGAAACCACAAAGAUGCUAAUGAGAUAUCUUGCUUUUUUGGGCGGACGGUCUAGAACAGGCGGGAGGACAGUUGAACAACAAGUAUUAGAAUCUAAUCCAGUCCUUGAAGCUUUUGGCAAUGCAAAGACUGUCCGUAACAACAACUCAAGUCGAUUUGGAAAAUUUGUUGAAAUCCAAUUUGACAAGAGUGGGAAGAUAUCAGGUGCUGCCAUUAGAACAUACUUGCUUGAAAGAUCUCGUGUUUGCCAAAUCAAUAGUCCAGAGAGAAACUACCAUUGCUUUUACUUCCUAUGUGCAGCACCAUCGGAGGAUAUCAAAAGCUAUAAGCUUGCUGACCCAUCAUCAUUCCACUAUCUCAACCAAUCCACGUGCAUUAAACUUGACGAAAUUAGUGAUGCUAAGGAAUAUCUUGCAACACGAAGUGCAAUGAAUACAGUUGGCAUUACUGAGCAAGAACAGGAGGCUACAUUCCGGGUAGUUGCUGCUGUGCUCCAUCUUGGUAACAUCAGUUUUGUGAAAGGGAGAGAGGUAGAUUCAUCUGUAAUAAAGGACGAGAAAGCUAGGUUCCAUCUUAAUGCAGCAGCAGAGCUCUUGAUGUGUGAUUGUGGGAAUCUGGAGAAUGCAUUAAUAAAGAGGAAAAUAAAUACACCAGAAGGAGUUAUAACCACAAUAGUUGAUCCUAAUUCUGCUACUGUUAGCAGGGAUGGCUUAGCAAAGCAAAUAUAUUCUCGACUAUUUGACUGGCUCGUAAACAGACUAAAUGCCUCCAUAGGACAAGAUACAUCCUCUGACCGAUUGAUUGGAGUACUUGAUAUCUAUGGUUUCGAAAGUUUUAAGACUAAUAGCUUUGAGCAAUUAUGCAUCAAUUUCACCAAUGAAAAACUUCAACAGCAUUUUAAUCAGAAUGUCUUCAAAAUGGAGCAGGAAGAGUAUAAUAGGGAGCAGAUCGACUGGAGCUACAUAGAAUUUGUCGACAACCAAGAUGUUCUAGACUUAAUUGAGAAGAAGCCUGGUGGAAUUAUUGCACUGCUUGAUGAAGCUUGUAUGUUUCCUAAGUGCACACAUGAAUCAUUUUCUCAGAAGCUGUAUGAGAAAUUCAGGAAUAACAAAAGAUUUUGCAAACCAAAGCUUUCUCGCACUGCGUUUACCAUACAGCAUUAUGCAGGAGAAGUAACUUACCAAUCUGAUCAUUUCCUGGACAAAAACAGAGACUAUGUAGUUGUAGAACAUCAAGAAUUACUUAAUGCUUCCAAGUGCUCUUUUGUGUCAGGGUUAUUCCCAUCAGUACUAGAGGAGAACACAAAAGCAUCAAAGUCUUCCAUUGCUACUCGCUUCAAGUGGCAACUCCAAGAACUAAUGGAGACUUUGAGUUCUACGGAACCUCAUUACAUCAGAUGUAUUAAGCCCAACAAUCAACUUAAGCCUACUACUUUUGAGAACAUCAAUGUUCUGCAGCAACUCCGGUGUUCAGGUGUUCUUGAAGCUAUUAGAAUCAGUUGUGCUGGAUAUCCUACAAGAAAAAUAUUUCAUGAUUUUCUCUGUCGAUUUUGCAUUCUUGCUCCUGAAGUUUUCACAGAAAGAAACAAUGAAAAGAUAACAUGCCAAAAGAUUUUGGACAAGAUGGGACUCCAUGGUUAUCAGAUUGGAAGAACAAAGGUGUUCCUGAGAGCUGGUCAGAUGGCUGAAUUAGAUGCUAGAAGAACUGAAGUGCGGAAUAAAGCAGCUAUAGCUAUUCAGAAUAGAUUUCACACUCAUGUUGCUCGUGAGCAAUUCCUUGCAUUACGCAUGACAUCAAUAUCUUUUCAAUCUUUUGUUAGAGUGAUAUUGGCCUGCAAGUUACAUGUUUUCCUCAGAAAACAAGCUGCAGUACUGCAUAUACAGAAAAGUUACCGCUGCUAUUUUGCUUGGAAGACUUAUUCAGAGCUAUGUUCUUCAGCCAUUACAUUGCAGACAGGGUUAAGGGCCUUUGGUGCUUAUAACGAAUACAUUAUCAGAAAACAAAAUAAAGCCUCUACUUAUGUCCAGGCUUGUUGGCGUUGCCAUAGGGAUCAUUUGAAUUACCUUAAAAUGAAAAGAUCGGUGCUAAUUUACCAGUGUGCAUGGAGAAGACGGAUUGCUAGAGGAGAACUCAGAAAGCUCAAAAUGGCUGCAAGGGACACAGAAACCCUGAAGGUGGAGAAGGAGAAACUUGAGGAGCACGUGGAAGAGCUGACUAGCCGUUUGGGCUUGGAAAAGAAUCUUAGGAUUGAUCUAGAGAAGAAUAAGGCAAGAGAAAUUUCCAAACUACAGGCUGCUCUUCGUGAGAUGGAGCAGCGGGUUGAAGAAGCCAUAGAGAUGCAGGAAAGAGAAUUAGCCAAAAAGGCUAUUGAGGAAGCUUUAGCUCAAGAAAGAGAAAAGAUCACCGUAUUAACUAAUGAAGUUGAUGGGUUGAAGGUACUACUAUUAAGAGAACGAGAAGAAAACAGUGCAACUAAGAGUGCACUCAUUGUUACUCGGGAAGAAAAUGAUGUGCUGAAUAAGAAAAUUGUGGUUGCAGAUGCAAACAUGGAGCAGCUUAGAGAUACUGUAAAGAGAUUUGAAAAGAAUGUGACUGAACUGGAGUCUUCAUUGAUGAAAGAAAAGGAACAAAACACUACAAUUGGAAGGGAACUAAAUGAAGCACACCAGAGGGUUGAAGAAUUACUGAGACAAAUUGCAAAUGCCAACGGGAAAUCCACAGAGCUUCAGACUGCUGUGCAAAGGCUGCAAGAAAGUUUAAUUGAGGGAGAAGCUACUUUGCUUGCAGAAAGAAAAGAAAGUGAAGCAACCAAGAAAUCACUCACUGAAGCUCAUGUAAAAAAUGAGGAACUACUCAAUAAAAUUGAAGUAGCUGAACAUAACAUUAAUAACUUCAAAGACGACAUCCAAAGACUUGAAGAAACUGCAACAACUUUGGAGACUUCAUUGUUAUCUGAGAAACAACAGAAUACUGCAAUAAUUUCACAAUUAGCUGAAGCACAACAGGGCAUUGAAGUACUGCAGAAGAAAUUUGAAGAUGCCAAUAAGACAAUUGAUCUGCUUCAAGAUUCUUUGAAAAGGUGUGAGGACAACACAAGCACAAGGGAUGCCUUAUAUGUAGCAGAAAGGCAGGAGCAUGAUCAAACCAAACAAGCACUUUCCAAAGCUCAGGAAAGAAAUGGGGAAUUGCUUAGGAAAGUUGAUGAUAGUGAGAAAACUAUAAACAAGAUGCUGGAGAAUGCUCAGAGACUUGAGAAACAUGCAACAGCAAGGGAAUCUUUGCUUCUUAAGACAAAGCAGAAUCUUGACUGCACUACAAAAGCACUAACUGAAGCACGAGGGAGAAACCGAGACUUAGUGACAAGUUUUGAGGAUUCAGCUAAAAAAGUCAAUAUGCUUGAGGAUUCACUUAACAGACUAGAAGAAUGCACAGCAGAGAAAGACUCUUUGUUGGCAGUAGAAAGACAAGAAAACAAAACGACCAAAGAAGAACUGGCUAAUGCCCAGAAAACAAUUAAUGAAUUAGUACACGAGUCACAGAAGUCCCAGGAAAUAAGAAAACAAUUGGAAGAUACCAUCAAGAGGUCUGAUGCUUUUUCUUCAGAGGACGUGCCCCAACUUCUUUUUCGAUAUCAUCAUUACACUGUGAUAGUGACUUUUCAGUGUGAUUUUGAAAGGUUUGAAGCAGAAUCUACUGCCAGAGACACAAUAUUAUUAUCAGAGAAACAGGCACAUGAGACGACCAAGAAAGUUCUAACUGAAAUUCAGUGGAGAAAUGAAGAGUUGAUCAAGAAAAUUCAGGAUUGUGAUAAAAAUACUCUUGAGCUUCAGCUAACUGUGGAGAGGCUUCAGGAAAACACAUCUACUGCAGAGGCUUUACUGUUGAGAGAACGUGAACAAAACAAUGCAACCAUGAAGGCACAAGCUGAAACUCAAGAAAGAAAUUUGCAGUUACUAAACAAGCUUGAGGACGUUGACAGAAAAAUCAGUCUUCUUCAAGGAAAUGUACAAAGGCUUGGUGAUAACACAGCAAAAGACACUUUGCUGCUAUCUGAGAAACGUGAGAAGGAUGCCCUGAAGGAAGCACUUACUGAGAGUGAAUACAAAAAUGAAGAGUUACUGAUGAAAACUGAAGAAGCCAACAAAAAAGUUGAGCAUCUUCAAAACACUAUAAAUUUGCUUAAGGAGAAUAUGGCAGCUUCUUUGGAAGCUGAAAGACAAGAAAAUGAAGCAAUCAAGAGGUCCCUUGUUGAAGCUCAGGAGAGAAACGAUGUAUUAUUUAAGAAAGUUAGGGAUAGCGAAUACAGGGCCCACCAGCUUCAAGAUACUGUCCAAAAGCUUCAAGUAGAUGCCAUAUCUAGACUGUCUAACUUUGUAAUGGACAAACAAGAUGGCGAUGGUGUCAAGAAUGCACAUACUGAAGCUCAUGGAACAAAUGAAGAUCUAAUGAGGAGAAAUGAAAACCUCCUAAAAAGGAAUGAUGACUUGGUGAAGAAGGUUGAAGAUUCUGCUAUACUUGUUACUGAGCUUCGAGGGAACUUAGAAAGGUUAGAAGGGAAAGCUGCCAACUUAGAGGCUGAAAAUCAAUUGCUUCGUCAACAAGCAAUUGCAACUCCUCCAUCCACAGCAAAGUCUUCUCAAGCUGCAUGCUCUAAAAUCAGUAUGAUCCAUAGAUGUCAAGAAAGUGGUCAUAUUUUAAAUGGCAACGUAGCAUAUGCUGAAAUGAAGUCCUCAACCGGUCCAACAGAAACGAGACCCUCAAUGGGUAGUUCCCUUGAUUUGAUUAACCACAAGGAUUAUGAAAAUGGGCAAAGGUUAUUUAAUGAAGUAUAUCAGCACCAGCAACCCCAGAAUCAUCAGCAGUUAUUGCUCAAAUAUAUUACCCAGUAUCUUGGAUUCUCUGGGAGAAAACCUAUUGCUGCUUAUCUUAUAUACUAUUGUCUUCUUCAUUGGAGAUCUUUUGAAGAAGCAAAGACAAGUGUCUUUGACAGUAUUAUACAAGUUGUAAACUCAGCAACUGAGGCUCAACAUGAUACGAGAGGCUUGGCCUACUGGCUGUCCAACUUAUCCACAUUGUCAGUUCUCCUGCAACGCUCAUUUAAAGCUUCCAGGGCAACUGUCUCAACUUCACAUAGACGAAGGUUUUCCUGUGAAAGGAUUUUUCAAGCCAAUCAAACUUCAAGCAGUGGACUUGCUUGUCUCAGUGCUCAAUCAGUGGAUGGAGCUACCGCGUUUCACCAAAUUGAAGCAAGAUAUCCGGCUUUGCUCUUCAAGCAGCAGCUAGUGGAUCAGAUUGAAAAGGUGUAUGGAGUGAUAAGCGACAAAAUGAAAAAGGAGCUAAACCCAUUACUUGAGUUGUGCAUACAGGAUCCAAGAACUUACUCAAAUCAAGCAAAGGCCUUGAUGUCUCCUGCUAGUGGCUUGGGCCAACAGGACCAACUCAUGCAUUGGCUGAGCAUCGUGAAAAUCUUCAAUAGCUAUUUGCAUGUUCUCAGAGCCAAUCAUGUCCCCUCAAUUUUGGUCCACAAAUUGCUUACCCAAAUAUUUUCUAUGGUCAAUGUGCAAUUAUUUAACAGGCUUCUCUUGAGGCGUGAGUGCUGUUCCUUUAGCAAUGGGCAAUACAUCAAAGAUGGGCUAACUCAACUAAGAUAUUGGUGCAAUGACGUCAGUCAAGAGUUUGCAGACUCCGCAUGGGUAGCACUGAGGCAUAUAAGACAAGCUGUUGACUUUGUGGUAAUUUCUCUGAAGCCAAUAAGGACAUGGGAAGAGAUAUGCAAUGAUAUUUGCCCGUUUGCAGCAGCUAGAGCGGAUAGUCGGUAUGUAUUGGGACGAUUUAAAUGGCACAAACGUAACAUCUGCCGAGUUCAUAUCAAGCAUGAGAGCUACGCUGCGUGAAGAAUCAAAUAGCGUCUCCAGCUUUUCGGUCCUGCUGGAUGAUGAUUCCAGCAUACCUUUUUCGCUUGAAGAUAUCUCGAAGUCGAUGCCAAACAUUGAGGAGACGUCAGUUAGUGACCUGCUACCUUUUAUCCACGAGAACCAAAAUUUUGCGUUUAUAUUGCAAUAGAGAAUAUGUAGCGGUUUCUUUACAACGCCUCCCGGUUUGUAUAAGAUUGCAAAGUUCUGGGUGGGGUAUGAGAUUUAUUUAUUAUACACGCGGACACACCACCACCACAAUAUACACUGCACUGGACCUGCAAUACACAACUUCCAUCGGA